ensembl:lncRNA
UGUUGUGAAAAACUCUUCCUGUUUUUGAGGUAGAUAGGUAUUUGAUUGGAUCAGUGGAUUUGUCUGAAUAUUUGAGUCAGGAUUUGGGAACUUAGGAUAGCCAGAGACAGAUAGGAGCUGGUCCUGCCCGUUCUGAAUCACUGGUCCAAGUCCUCUUUAUAUGAACCCCUGACUAGAGAAUCCAAUUUGUUCAGUGUUACCUCUGUGAAGCUCUGCUGCAGUGUGAAUUAGCCCAGGGUUCAUUGUUUUGAUAAUUUCAUGCUUCAGCAGAAUAUCAUGAAUUGCAAGCAUGCAGAAAACUGCUUUUCAAUUUGCAAAGAAACCCCUCAAUGGGAUCUUAGCAAAACCUUUGUAACACUCCAAGAAGAACUUCCUUUUACAUAACAAAGCAUUAUUUCCAAGAUUUAAUUUUCUCAUUGCUUUUCGUUUUCUGUAAAGACUGCUUGAUACAAAAGGUCAAGGUAUCAGCAAAACAUAGACAGAUUUUUGCUGAAUGACAUAAACCUGUCAGAAUGCUGAGCUUUGAUGUUCCAUUAAGUGAUCGAUGUAGAUUACUGACUUUUGGCUAAAUGCUACUCAACCAGAUAAGGUCAAUACCUGUUAGUUCAUUGGUGGAAUAAUUAAUCAAUCAAUACAGGAUGCUUGAAGUCAGGGAGAAUUAUUGCCAGGCUUGUAUCUCCGGCUUUGGUCACAGAAAUUAUUUAAAAACAUCCUUGCAGCAUUAACCCCCUCCAUGCAGGGUUUACUGUAACAUUAUGUAUCCAGGGAAAAGGAAGAAAAAAAUUCCAGUGAGCAGUACUUCUUGUAACCUCGAGCUCCCCAGAAGGAAAAGCCUCUAACAAGCUGAGAGCACCAUCAUUAGUUCUUCCUUUCACAUCAUCACACUCUGCUUGUAAAAUAAUUACAUGCAAUUUUUCUGUUUUACAGUUGGGCCACAUGACUCCCUGUUCUUUUGCACAGCAACUCACCCCUCCCCCAGACUGCCUGGCUGAAGGCUGGAACUGCUCACCUUUAAACAUCUCAGCCAGCGGCUUUUAUGGUGGACACACCUGUUAUCUAAAUUAUGCGAUUUAUCCAGUUGAAGAGGCUUCUUGUGUGUAUAGAUGCUAUAGUCACUCUGUUGUGUCCCACUCUUUGCGAUCGCAUGGACUAUAAUCCGCCAGGCUCCCCUGUCCAUGGAAUUUUCCAGGCAGGAAUACUGGAGUGGAUAGUCAUUCCCUUCUCCAGGGGAUCUUCCUGACCUAAGGAUUGAACCCAAGUCUCCCGCAUUACAGGCUGAUUCUUUACCAUCUGAGCCACCAGGGAAGCCCACAGGUAUUGUCUCCCAGAAUAUGUAAUCUUAAACCUUCAAAAUGUUUUCUGCUCUUUUUGAGAAGAUUUAAAAUCCAAAAGUUUGUCAUUUAUAUUAAAAUGGUUCCAUCAUUUCCUUUUUUAAACAUUUAUUCUUAAUACACUCUCAGUACAUACAUUAUGUCAACAUAGACAAGUGAGUCCCAUAUCUACCUCCACCUAAAGAAGUGGCAAACUAUUUCCAAAUCACAGCUCUUUGCUUCCCCUCCACAUUUUUUUUCUAUUGUACUUCCUGUCUCUGAAUGACACCACUACUUCCUAGCCCCCGCCUCCAAUCCAAACAUCUGAUCAAGUUAGAGCCUUUAUCCCUUGAGUAUUCUUUUUUGACUGAAUGAUGGUUCCAUGACUUAAUAUCUUCCCUGGUUCUUCAUAGCUGGUGAGAUGCAAUUCAGUUUCCUGACCGUGUUCUCUUGGAACUACCCCGGCCCUCUGUCCUCAUUUCUCUAUCUAUUCCCUCAUCUAUCCAGGAGUCCACUCGUUCUAAGUUACUUGAAGUUCCCCCAUACUCCAUGCUUUUCCACUCCUCUGUGUUUUAAUCAUACCCAUCCUUCAGGAGAUUAAAGAUAACAGUCAGCAAGACCUGGGUUACUCCUUCAGUGCUGCCACUGACCAGUUGUAUGACUGAGCCCAGUUUAUUAAUUUUCAUUUAUAAAGUGAGAAUUAUAGUGUAUCUCAGUACAUUUAUCUUUACAUAAAUGUGAAGAUGAUGAGAGUAUGUAAGGAUAGCAUGAGAAAGUAUAAAUAAAUUGCUUUGUAUAGAAAGCAGUCCGUGUAUUUUGGUAGUAUUGUUAUUGUUAUUAUUAUUACAGUCUAAAAUUCAGCUCUGGUAUCAUAUCUUUCAGGAAGUUUCCUGUUCUUUCAAUCUAGAGUUUUUGUAGCUUCUGGAGCACCUGUCUAUCAUAAUACUCACUGCAGGAUUUUUUAGUACUAUUUUCUGAUUCCCCUUAAACAAACCAAACUAUUUGAGAUGACUAUACCUUUCAUUUCUCAAGGCCAAAGUUCAGUAUAGUAUACUACCCGAGUAGGUAUACUUAAUAAGUAUUGCUUAUUCCAUAGUCAUUUAUGUGUAUAAGCUAUAUAUCCCAUCCCAAAAUACCGUAAAUCCUCCAAGAUGUCAAACAAAAUGAUUUAGUACAGAACUGAUGGAAUUCUGAAACAUAAUUUGAUUUGGGGAUAAAUAAAUUUUUCUCCCCUCAAACUGUGUUAUUUAAAUUUGGGGUUAGCUGCUACCUUGGUACAUGGGAUGAGAACUAUUAGUACUAAUAAUAUUAUUGUUGUUUAAUUUAAAUUAUCUCUAUCUUGAACAAAUUGACAUAAUUUAAAAAUAUUGGUAUAGUAAAAUAUACAGUAAGUUGGCAAAAGUUAUGCAUUUUGUGCUAUUGUGUAAAAUAUUCAAAAUGAAUGACUAUAAGAUGGAUUUGUUUUGUAAUGCUCCCAAGUUAGAAGCUUGAAUAAUUUAACCCAUGGUUUAUCAGGAUAUGUUAUGUAACUGAAAGAGUUUCAAGAUUAUUUAAAUAAAUUGAGGAUUUGUGACAAUUCUAAUCCUUGUAGAAGUAAUGAAGAACAUGGUCUUUUACUUUAUACUAAUAGCCUCUUUAUUAUCAGUGUAGACAAGUGUCAAAAUCAACUAUAUGGAUAAAAUAACUUUUGAAAUUAUUAAGAUGGUCAGUUUCUUCGAUAAUGCUUCCAUUUUUUCACAACAGAUCAAGAAACCUUGGUAACCUAUGAUUCUAUUUAUAAAGUAUAUCUAGGUAUAUUCUCGGAGAAGGUGAUGGCCCCCCACACCAGUACUCUUGCCUGGAAAAUUCCAUGGACAGAGGAGCCUGG